GACGUCGAUAUUCGACGUCAUAAACACCAUCAAGUUUCGUGUUUAUGACGUCGAUAUUCGACGUCAUAAACACCAUCAAGUUUGGUGUUUAUGACGUCGACAUUCGACGUCAUAAACACCAUCAAGUUUCGUGUUUAUGACGUCGAUAUUCGACGUCAUAAACACCAUCAUGUUUCGUGUUUAUGACGUCGAUAUUCGACGUCAUAAACACGAUCAACUUUGGUGUUUAUGACGUCGAUAUUCGACGUC